AUGAAUAUACUGUUCUGGAACUGCCGGGGGGGGGGGAACCGCCGGACAGUUCGUGAGGUCUUAGCCCUCUCAAAAGCCAACUUCCCCAAACUAGUCUUCCUCUAUGAGACUAGACAGGAUUCUGUUAAGGUGGAAAAGCUGCGUUGGAGACUCGGGUUGAAAGGCUUUCAUGGUGUGAGUAGCGAUGGAAGAAGUGGUGGUUUGGCUCUGUUCUGGGAUGAGUCGUUGACAGUGAUGGUGCUAGAUUCUUGCAGCCGUUUUAUUGACGUCAAGGUAGUAGAUGGCGGUUCGGGCACUUCUUGGCGAGGAACUUUUAUUUAUGGGGAGCCACGUGUUGAGAAUCGUCAUCGGAUGUGGGAGCAACUGUGUGGGCUUAGGGCCAGCUCACGGGAGCCAUGGGUGGUGUGCGGAGAUUUUAAUGAGGCACUUUGGAAACAUGAGCACCUCUCUGGUACACCGCGGUCUGAAGCUCAAAUGGUGGCGUUUAAAGAUUGCUUGGAAAGAUGCGGGUUGGAAGACCUGGGCUUUUCAGGUUAUCCUUUCACCUACAACAAUGGUCAGCAGGCGGAUCGGAAUGUUCAGGUCCAACUGGACCGUGCUUGCGCUGAUGAAUCAUGGCGGGACUCUUUCCCCGCCGCGAAGGUGACCCAUCUGGCCACUCCCUGUUCGGAUCACUGCCCCAUCUUGAUCCAGAUGGAGGGUCAGCAAGAUGAGAGACGUCGGGUACCCACUCUACGCUAUGAGAUAAUGUGGGAACGGGACCAUACUUUACCUGACAUGCUAGCCAGGGCGUGGAACAGACACAAACAACCUGGCAGCUUGGGUUUGGUAGCAAAAUCCCUGAAGGAGGUGCUUAAGGAUUUAAAAGAGUGGAGUAAAAUUAAGUUUGGUAACAUGUUGAAGGAGAUCGAGAAGCUGUGA
rnacentral:rRNA from 1 species